rnacentral:rRNA from 1 species
AUUGAACGCUGGCGGCAUGCUUUACACAUGCAAGUCGAACGGCAGCGCGGGCUUCGGCCUGGCGGCGAGUGGCGAACGGGUGAGUAAUACAUCGGAACGUGCCCAGUAGUGGGGGAUAGCUCGGCGAAAGCCGGAUUAAUACCGCAUCCGACCUGAGGGGGAAAGCGGGGGAUCUUCGGACCUCGCGCUAUUGGAGCGGCCGAUGGCAGAUUAGCUAGUUGGUGGGGUAAAGGCCUACCAAGGCGACGAUCUGUAGCUGGUCUGAGAGGACGACCAGCCACACUGGGACUGAGACACGGCCCAGACUCCUACGGGAGGCAGCAGUGGGGAAUUUUGGACAAUGGGCGAAAGCCUGAUCCAGCAAUGCCGCGUGUGUGAUGAAGGCCUUCGGGUUGUAAAGCACUUUUGGCGGGAACGAAAAGGACUGUGCCAAUACCACGGUUCGAUGACGGUACCCGCAGAAUAAGCACCGGCUAACUACGUG